rnacentral:rRNA from 1 species
UACGUAGGGGGCAAGCGUUGUCCGGAAUUAUUGGGCGUAAAGGGCGCGUAGGCGGGAUGGCAAGUCGGUCGUGAAAUCCUUCGGCUCAACCGAAGAACGUCGAUCGAUACUGCUGUUCUUGAGGGUUGCAGAGGAGACUGGAAUUCCCGGUGUAGCGGUGAAAUGUGUAGAGAUCGGGAGGAACACCGGUGGCGAAGGCGGGUCUCUGGGCAAUUCCUGACGCUGAGGCGCGAAAGCGUGGGGAGCAAACGGG